AGGACGAACGCUGGCGGCGUGCUUAACACAUGCAAGUCGAGCGGUAAGGCCUUUCGGGGUACACGAGCGGCGAACGGGUGAGUAACACGUGGGUGAUCUGCCCUGCACUUCGGGAUAAGCCUGGGAAACUGGGUCUAAUACCGGAUAUGACCUCAGGUUGCAUGACUUGGGGGUGGAAAGAUUUAUCGGUGCAGGAUGGGCCCGCGGCCUAUCAGCUUGUUGGUGGGGUAAUGGCCUACCAAGGCGACGACGGGUAGCCGACCUGAGAGGGUGACCGGCCACGACUGGGACUGAGACACGGCCCAGACUCCUACGGGAGGCAGCAGUGGGAAUAUGCACAAUGGGCGAAAGCCUGAUGCAGCGACGCGCGUGAGGAUGACGGCCGUUCGGGUUGUUAAACCGUCUUUCAGCGAAGGACGAAGCGACAAGGUGACCGGUUAACCUGCAAGAAGAACGCGACCGACGUAACUACGU
rnacentral:rRNA from 1 species